AAGUCGUAACAAGGUUUCCGUAGGUGAACCUGCGGAAGGAUCAUUAACGAAUAACUAUGGUGUCUUGGCUGUCGCUGGCUCCUCGGAGCAUCGUGCACGCCCGCCAUUUUUAUCUAUCCACCUGUGCACCGAAUGUAGGUCUGGAUGACUCUCGUCUCCGGGCGGAUGCGAGGUUUGCGUGUGCGUUGCGUACGGGCUCACCUCGAAUUUCCAGACUCUACGUCUUUUUACACACCCCAAACGUAUGAUGCAGAAUGUAGUCAAUGGGCCUUUAAAAGCCUAUAAAACACUAUACAACUUUCAGCAACGGAUCUCUUGGCUCUC
rnacentral:misc_RNA from 1 species